AUGUACCGAGAGGGGACACACCCCGCUCCACGGGGACAGAAGCUCCUGUGUGUGGGACUCCCCCAGACCGCCCCCGAAACACCGCUGCCUCUGGCUGUCCAUCCGUGCACUUUAUGCCACAACAGACUCCUGGACCGAGGUCAGUUCAGUUCAGUCGCUCAGUUGUGUCCGACUCUGCGACCCCAUGGACUGGAUGCUUCCCUGUCCCUCACCAUCUCCCGGAGCUUGCUCAAACUCAUGUCCAUCAAGUCGGUGAUGCCAUCCAACUGUCUCAUCCUCUGUCGUCCCCUUCUCCUCCCGCCUUCAAUCUUUCCCAGCAUCAAGGUCUUUUCCAAGGACUCAGUUCUUCACAUCAGGUGGCCAAAGUAUUGGAGUUGCAGCUUCAGCAUCAGUCCUUCCAAUGAAUAUUCAGGACUGAUUUCCUUUAGGAUAGAUUGGUUGGAUCUCCUUGCAGUCCAACGGACUCUCAAGAGUCUUCUCCAAUACCACAGUUAAAAAGCAUCCGUUCUUCGGGGCUCAGCUUUCUUUAUAGUCCAACUCUCACAUCCAUACACGACCACAGGAAAAACUAUAGCCUCGACUAGACGGACCUUUGUUGGCAAAGUCAUGCCCCUGCUUUUCAACACACUGUCUAGUUUGGUCACGGCAUCCGGUUCCAUCACUUCGUGGCAAAUAGAUGGGCAAACAGUGGAAACAGUGAGAGACUUUAUUUUCUUGGGCUCCAAAAUCACUGGAGAUGGUGACUGCAGCCAUGAAAUUAAGACACUUGCUCCUUGGAAGAAAAGCUAUGACCAACCUAGACAGCAUCUGUCUUCACUCACUGAAACGUUAGUGAACAGUGGAACACACGGCGUUUUUAGGGCGGUGGAAUGAAUGACUCUGUGUGUAAGAUGGGCACAUCACCUGCGUUUGUCAGAACCUGUGGACUCUAAGAUCAAGCCUUCGCCUGAAUUAUGGAGUUGAUUAACAAUAAUGUAUCCAAGUCGGCUCAUCAGUUCUAACAAAGGUACCCCACUCCAGCCAGGUAUGAGCAACAAGCGGUGGACGGUGAGGGGGCGGGACUGCUCCUACCGUCUGCCUGAUUUUUCUAGACACUUUCAACUGCUCUAGAACAUUAAGUACAUUAUUAUUAUUUUUUUUUGACUGCAACUGUGUGGCUUGUGGAGCCUUAAUUUCCCAACCAGGGAUUGAACCCUCACCCUCAGCAGUGAAAGCCUCGAAUCCUAACCACUAGACCUCUAGGGAAUUCCCUAAAGUUUAUCAAAUUUUAAAAGUUUAUUAAAUAUGAAAAAUUAUCCCUAGGUUAUACAGGGGUCCCCUUAGAGCCUCGGACCUGGGGAAAGUGUUCCUGGCUCAGGCUCAGGCCUCCCCUCACAGCUGGCCUCCAGGACCAUUGCCAACCUGAGCCCCGUGGUCAGGGACAGCCUCAGACAGCGGGCACCUUGGCGGUGGCCUGCAAGGAGGAAUGGUCACACUGAACGCGCGCUUCCGUGUUGACACGGCUGACGCAUGUGCGCAUGCCUGAGCUCACGCCCCCGCCCCCCGCAGUGCUUUCGUUCCCAGCUUUGCAGACAGAUCUGAAUUCUUUUGCAGCGCUUUCUGUUCUGAAGGCACUUGUGGCUUAAUCUUAGCCAGCACAUUCAAAGGAAUUAAACCAAAAAGCUCAUUUCUGAAGAAAGAGAGUAUUUGAAUGUCUGCAUCACUGUACCAUGUUUGCCUAAUGUUCUAGAAGCUUCUCUGGAGGGUGGAACAGCGUCCACCCCCAGGAAAUACUAACCCAACCACGGACACCUGGAGGAAGAGACACCUUCUUGUGAAAGGUUGUCCAUGUAGCCUCUUUAGAUGCAGAGAUUCGGCAGGAAUGUUUUCUGUUUUAAAAUUUCAGAGCCAAGUUUAGUUAUUGUUAAACUGGAGCUAAAUGACAGUCUGCUCGAGAGCUACUGUGUUUGAACCUGGAACUUAACACAUGAAAUGCCUCAGGGGAAAACGCACAGUCUGUGACCCAGAAACCAAGGGUUCCGCCAGGGCUGAGUGCAAAGCGAUGGCUGUUUGCAGGAAAGGUCUCCAGUGAGGGGAGCAUUGCUGUGUGGAAUGACCUCAUGGCACACUCACAGCCCUUUUCUACUGCGAGGAAGCGUCCUGCACAGAAACUAAGCCGCAUAGGAGACCCCGGGCCAGGGGUGCCCCCGCGUCCCGGCAAGCACACACACCAGGCCCCUGGGAGCUUUAUGCAACCCCUCAAAGUGCCAGUGAGGCGUGGACGGGCCAUCCGGGGUCGGGGGGCUCACCAGGAAGGCAGGUGCAAUGAAAACCUGGUCAGGGGAAAGCGAUGCUGGUGGGGUGGACCCCCCUCGGACCUGCAGGGUCAUCCCUGCUGGGGGCACCAGGCCAGCGGGAUGGGGCUGGCUGUGGAGGGGACCUCACUGCCUGGCCUCUGUCCUCCCAGGCAUCAGUGGGAUGAUCCGUGAUGGCCAGAAGGCCCCACCUUCUGGCUGGACCCUCCUGAGGGCUGGCGCAUCCACCCUGGACAGACAACAGGGAAAGCGCGCCUGAGCAGCGUGCCCUGUCAGGUGACCAGUCAGGACGAGGAGCCUCCCUCCUGGAGCCCCCUACCGACUGCCCCCUCUGCAGCCUUUCAGCAUGGGCAGGGUACAGACCCCUGGGAGCAGGGCAGGGGGGCCACCACUGGGCCAUAGGCCAGAAGCCCUGCGCCUCACACUAGAGCUGGGAGCAGGGUCCCAGCAAGUCACCUGAGCCUGAGCCCAGAAUGGAGGGACACCACGUGCUCAGGAGAGACGGAAACACACGCUGUCCUGAGAUUUCACGGAGUGUCCACAGCAGCGACAAGGCAACAGGGGAGGGGACGGGGGAGCAUGGCUUGCUCGAGGGACGGAGCUCCAGGCAGGUGACACUCGGGGCUGGAAGCUCCACCCUCCGUGGGGGGAGCCACACGGUGCGACCCGCCCAUGUGAGUGUCCAUGUCAGAAGACUCCCCGCAGACGGCGCUCGGAUUACAGUUCCGGGCUGCGGUUGGGGUGACGGCUGAGGCAGGGUGAUGGAAGCCUCUAGAACCAACUGUGGCACAGUUCUGUGAAGGUUCUACAACCACUGAACUCACUCUGUGAUGAGAGCUCUGAUGGGACGAGAGCUGUGUCCACAAAUCUGGUUUCUGGAGACGCCCCUUCCUGGGGGUCGAGAUGGACCAGAGGGCUCCCUGCCCGGCGCUGCCAUGAGUCCUCACCCCGAAAACACGAGGGGACCCCCUAGACAGCUUCUCCAUUCUCUUCACUGCUAACGCCCAUGAGGAGCUCUGUGCUUAAGCUGCGUCCAGACCAGGGACCCGGGGCGGGGUGACUGUCCCUGCAGGGGCCCCAACCCAGCCAUUCUGCCCACACGGGGGGCUCCAUCUGGCCCGGAGGCGCCUGUGCAGGGCCCUGUCGCCUCCUGCUCCCACCAGAACCCCCUGGGGGCAGCAAGGGGGGGAGGCCAACAGAGUCGGUGGAGACGCGCAAGCCUUUCUCCCCAAAGCAGGCAGCCCCCCAGCCCUUCCCUUGUGGGCUACACGGCGCUCCGCCCGCCCAGGCCCAGGGGGCUGCGAGCCCCUUCCCUGG
rnacentral:lncRNA from 1 species